rnacentral:rRNA from 1 species
ACGGGUAUUGCCUCAGUAACGGCGAGUGAAGCGGCAACAGCUCAAAUUUGAAAUCUGGCCCUAGGCCCGAGUUGUAAUUUGCAGAGGAUGCUUUUGGUGCGGUGCCUUCCAAGUUCCCUAGAACGGGACGCCAGAGAGGGUGAGAGCCCCGUACAGUUGGACACCAAGCCUUUGUAAAGCUCCUUCGACGAGUCGAGUAGUUUGGGAAUGCUGCUCAAAAUGGGAGGUAUAUUUCUUCUAAAGCUAAAUACCGGCCAGAGACCGAUAGCGCACAAGUAGAGUGAUCGAAAGAUGAAAAGCACUUUGAAAAGAGGGUUAAACAGCACGUGAAAUUGUUAAAAGGGAAGCGCUUGUGACCAGACUUGCGUCCGGUGAAUCACCCAGCUCUCGCGGCUGGGGCACUUCGCCGGCUCAGGCCAGCAUCAGCUCGCUGUCGGGGACAAAAGCUUCAGGAACGUAGCUCUCUUCGGGGAGUGUUAUAGCCUGUUGCAUAAUACCCUUCGGCGGGCUGAGGUACGCGCUCCGCAAGGAUGCUGGCAUAAUGGUCAUCAGCGACCCGUCAAAAAAAAAAGAAACAAAAA